GACAGAGGACUAUAUAGAUGUUAGGACAACAGGACCAGACCAGACAGAGGACUAUAUAGAUGUUAGGACAACAGGACCAGACCAGACAGAGGACUAUAUAGAUGUUAGGACAACAGGACCAGACCAGGCAGAGGACUAUAUAGAUGUUAGGACAACAGGACCAGGCAGAGGACUAUAUAGAUGUUAGGACAACAGGACCAGACCAGACAGAGGACUAUAUAGAUGUUAGGACAACAGGACCAGACAGAGGACUAUAUAGAUGUUAGGACCAGACCAGGCAGAGGACUAUAUAGAUGUUAGGACAACAGGACCAGACCAGACAGAGGACUAUAUAGAUGUUAGGACAACAGGACCAGACCAGACAGAGGACUAUAUAGAUGUUA
rnacentral:lncRNA from 1 species